rnacentral:rRNA from 1 species
UACGUAGGGGGCGAGCGUUGUCCGGAUUUAUUGGGCGUAAAGAGCUCGUAGGCGGUUGGGUAAGUCGGGUGUGAAAACUCAGGGCUCAACUCUGAGACGCCACUCGAUACUGCCCUGACUCGAGUCCGGUAGGGGAGCGUGGAAUUCCCGGUGUAGCGGUGAAAUGCGCAGAUAUCGGGAGGAACACCGGUGGCGAAAGCGGCGCGCUGGACCUCUUCUGACGCUGAGGCGCGAAAGCCAGGGGAGCAAACGGG